GGUCGACUGGUGUAGUGGUCAUCACACCCGCUUUACAAUUCUAUUGUACAACGCGGUAGGUCGCAGGUUCGAUCCCUGCGUCGAUCA